ensembl:lncRNA
GUACUGAACUUGGUUUUAAGUUUCCUCUAUUUUUGCACAAGUCAUUUAAUUUUUUCUUAGAUUAUUUCAAAGCGGGGAGUGGUUAUUCGGAAUGAUGAGGUCUAAGUCUGAGCAGUGAACUUACUCUUACUAUAAAUAGCACCAGAAAUGUGCGUCAAUUCGCAUUGCCACAGAAAACUGAACGGUUUCCUCACAAUCUUAAUGGUACCAGGUUUUAUUCUUAGAUUAUUUUUGUUAGGUUUAUAAUGACGACAAUCAUACCUCCAACUUGCUUAAAUUUGCAUUUCCUUUAUUGUUAGUGAUAUUGUUAGUGUGUACCUGUCGAGGUGAUAUUUUGAAUUUUGAAUUCAUUACUUCGUGUACGAACUGAUUUAGGUAGCAUUAUGGACCCUUAAACUAUAAAGGUCAACCUGCAUGGUAGAAUGCACCUUUGUUCCGCUUAGGUUAUGUUAUCCUGUUCCAUAAAACAGAGUUUAGACUUUGGGUUUCAGUAAAGCUAAAUCUCGAGACGUCACACUGGUGUUUUUUGUGAGCUCUUAUAUACAUGUGUUAAUCGAUUGACUUAACAAAAGUGUUUUCUUGCAUCAGUCCAGUGCACAAUUCCUCGCAAAUGUUGAAAACGACACAUCACGUCACACUUGUGACUGAGGAAGCAGGAAAGGGGACACAGGACAGGCGGGAAUGUUGAGAUGGGAGCAUUUAAGAACUGCUGGAGUUCAGAGGUGCUUGGAGAACUCCUUUCCUCUGAAUGUUUAAACUUGGAUUCUGAGUUUACUUUACAAACAAUGGAUCCCAGGCUCACAAGCAUCCUGGCCGAAAAUGCUGACGAGUCAGAAGAAAGCACCCAGCUGGGGUAUUUCCAAGUAAAGUCCUUGAUGUCAGGCCUGAGUGGGGAGUUCCUCCCACCCCGGGGGAUGCUUCCGGCACUGGAGGAGGUCGAGGUGAUUAUGGGGUCACUCUUGCUGCGACAGACAUUUACACAGGUGCCAGACGGCCAGCCCCUCUCGGCUCUGUUGUCGAGCUCCCAGCCCGCGUUUCCUGGCCACGUCAACAGAUGGUUCUCUGAAGCUGGCUGGAGAAGAAAGACCUCUUGGUUGCUCUGAACCUCCGGGGACAGAAGGAGGACUUGGCUCCAAUCACACCAAUUGGCAGGAAGACCAGACUGGGCUUCUCAUCCUGUCGGGACUCCUGUGCUCAGCGAGGAGGCAGGAAGAGAGGGCAGUGGACUGCCAGGCACCAAGAGGGGGCAGAGAGAUUUGGGACUGGGCCUUCCCACCCCCUGCACGGAGGACCAGGCUAGCUCCUCCCGGGGUGAGUCAGGCUGGCCCCACGUUUGGCUUGAGAGCCAAAGCGUUUGUGUGGAAGCUGCUCUCAAGGCUAGAAUAAGAUGAUUCUCUUAAAACGCUUUAGUUAAACCUUUGGUUUGAGGCAAUGGGCUUUAGGGAUAAGGAUUUCUCUGAGUAUCCCUUUAUUUUAUUUUAUUUUAUUUCUAAUAAGUCAAAGUGCUCUCAAGGUCCCUGGGUGAAGGCACUCAGCACUUCAAGGAUGCGUAGCGCUUCUAUGAUUGGGAUGGCUCAGUGCAACCAGCUCCUUCAGGGCCUCAGGCUCAGGAAAGGAAACCCAGGCAGUAAAUUAGCCCCAGACUCAAGGUGCCGGCUUUGGCCCAGCUAGUCACACCACCCCCUGUGUCACGUGCUUCAGCUGCUCUUUUCUCUGCCCUCUAUGUAAUCCCUGAAAAAAAUAGAAGACUUUUUGUGUGCGGGGCACAGGGUGGGGGUGGGGACCGGCC